UGCGAACGUCUUCAUUCUUGCCA
rnacentral:piRNA from 1 species